rnacentral:rRNA from 1 species
GACGAACGCUGGCGGCGUGCUUAACACAUGCCAGUCGAACGGAAAGGCCCUGCUUUUGUGGGGUGCUCGAGUGGCGAACGGGUGAGUAACACGUGAGUAACCUGCCCUUGACUUUGGGAUAACUUCAGGAAACUGGGGCUCUUACCGGAUAUGAUCUCCUGCUGCAUGGUGUGGGUUGGAAAGUUGCGGCGGUUGGGGAUGGACUCGCGGGUUAUCAGCUUGUUGGUGGGGUAGUGGCUUACCAAGGCUUUGACGGGUAGCCGGCCUGGGAGGGUUACCGGCGACAAUAGGACUGAGAGACGGACCAGAAGCGUACGGGAGGCAGUGGUGGGGAGUAUUGCAGAAUAAGGGGAAGCCAGAGGCAGCAAUGUCGGGAGCGGGAUGACGGGUUUCGAGUGGUGAACAGAUUUCGACGGAGACGAGGAGUGAGUGACGGUAACGGAUAAAGAAGCAACGGCUAACUACGUG